rnacentral:rRNA from 1 species
AUUGAACGCUGGCGGAAUGCUUUACACAUGCAAGUCGAACGGCAGCACGGGGGCAACCCUGGUGGCGAGUGGCGAACGGGUGAGUAAUACAUCGGAACGUGCCCGGUCGUGGGGGAUAACGUAGCGAAAGUUACGCUAAUACCGCAUACGAUCUGAGGAUGAAAGCGGGGGACCUUCGGUCCUCGCGCGAUCGGAGCGGCCGAUGUCAGAUUAGGUAGUUGGUGGGGUAAAGGCCUACCAAGCCGACGAACUGUAGCUGGUCUGAGAGGGCGACCAGCCACACUGGGACUGAGACACGGCCCAGACUCCUACGGGAGGCAGCAGUGGGGAAUUUUGGACAAAGGGCGCAAGCCUGAUCCAGCCAUUCCGCGUGCAGGACGAAGGCCUUCGGGUUGUAAAAUGCUUUUGUAUGGAACGAAAAGGCGCUGGCUAAUACCUGGGGCUCAUGACGGUACCGUAAGAAUAAGCACCGGCUAACUACGUG